GAUGAACGCUGGCGGCGUGCUUAACACAUGCAAGUCGAACGAAGCACUUGAAACGGAUUCUUCGGAUGAAGUUUCCUGUGACUGAGUGGCGGACGGGUGAGUAACGCGUGGGUAACCUGCCUCAUACAGGGGGAUAACAGUUAGAAAUGGCUGCGAAUACCGCAUAAGCGCACGGCAUCGCAUGAUGCAGUGUGAAAAACUCCGGUGGUAUGAGAUGGACCCGCGUUGGAUUAGCUAGUUGGCAGGGUAACGGCCUACCAAGGCGACGAUCCAUAGCCGGCCUGAGAGGGUGGACGGCCACAUUGGGACUGAGACACGGCACAGGCUCCUACGGGAGGCAGCAGUGGGGAAUAUUGCACAAUGGGGGAAACCCUGAUGCAGCGACGCCGCGUGAGCGAAGAAGUAUUUCGGUAUGUAAAGCUCUAUCAGCAGGGAAGAAAAUGACGGUACCUGACUAAGAAGCCCCGGCUAACUACGUGCCAGCAGCCGCGGUAA
rnacentral:rRNA from 1 species